rnacentral:rRNA from 1 species
AACGAACGCUGGCGGCAGGCUUAACACAUGCAAGUCGAACGGGUGCAGCAAUGCAUCAGUGGCAGACGGGUGAGUAACACGUGGGAACCUUCCUAGGGGUACGGAACAACUCAGGGAAACUUGAGCUAAUACCGUAUACGUCCGUGAGGAGAAAGAUUUAUCGCCCUUAGACGGGCCCGCGUCGGAUUAGCUAGUUGGUGGGGUAAUGGCCUACCAAGGCGACGAUCCGUAGCUGAUCUUAGAGGAUGAUCAGCCACACUGGGACUGAGACACGGCCCAGACUCCUACGGGAGGCAGCAGUGGGGUAUCUUGGACAAUGGGCGCAAGCCUGAUCCAGCCAUGCCGCGUGAGUGAAGAAGGUCGUCGGAUUGUAAAGCUCUUUUGCCAGGGACGAUAAUGACGGUACCUGGAGAAUAAGCCCCGGCAAACUUCGUGCCAGCAGCCGCCGUAACAC